AUUGAGCGCUGGCGGCAGGCUUAACACAUGCAAGUCGAGCGGGGGAAGGUAGCUUGCUACCGGACCUAGCGGCGGACGGGCGAGUAAUGCUUAGGAAUCUGCCUAUUAGUGGGGGACAAGAUCUCGAAAGGGAUGCUAAUACCGAAUACGCCCUACGGGAGAAAGCAGGGGAUCUUCGGCCCUUGCCCUAAUAGAUGAGCCGAAGGCGGAUUAGCUAGUUGGUGGGGUAAAGGCCUACCAAGGCGACGAUCUGUAGCGGGUCUGAGAGGAUGAGCCGCCACACUGGGACUGAGACACGGCCCAGACUCCUACGGGAGGCAGCAGUGGGGAAUAUUGGACAAUGGGGGGAACCCUGAUCCAGCCAUGCCGCGUGUGUGAAGAAGGCCUUAUGGUUGUAAAGCACUUUAAGCGAGGAGGAGGCUACUCUAGUUAAUACCUAGGGAUAGUGGACGUUACUCGCAGAAUAAGCACCGGCUAACUCUGUGCCAGCCGCCGCGGUAA
rnacentral:rRNA from 1 species